rnacentral:rRNA from 1 species
UUCCUUCAGUUACCAUCAUUAAGUUGGGGACUCUGGAGGUACCGCUGCAGUAACAAUGCAGAGGAAGUGGGGACGACGUCAAGUCAUCAUGGUCCUUAUGUCCAGGGCUACACACGUGCUACAAUGGUAGAUACAGAGGGAAGCGAGAUAGUGAUAUGGAGCGAAUCUCAGAAAAUCUGCCACAGUUCGGAUUGGGGUCUGCAACUCGACCCCCAUGAAGCUGGAAUCGCUAGUAAUCGCGCAACAUCAUGGCGCGGUGAAUACGUUCCCGGGCCUU